CUUCACAGUAGUUUUAUACAUAUAUAUAUUUCCUCGGUCAACAAGUAAUUCCAGUAACCAUUACGUGGGGGGUUGUCUCAAAGUUUUGAUGUUAAGAAAGGGCCACUCCAGAUAUGAUGUGAUGAGGAAUAAUAUGGAAGAUCAGCAAAUGUCCUGGUAUCGGCUGGAUAAAAAGAAUAGAGGAAACAGGGCCAAGGCAAAUAUGAUUUUCUAGGCAACACCUGGCUGUGGCUUUAGUCAGGAGUAACUGGAACUAACUCUAAAGCCAUUCUUCAUAGUAAUUGCACUUUGUGAUAUAUAAAAUUAUGUCUUAUAAAAGCUGUGUUUAAAUUAAUGGCAUAUUAAAUAAACAUGUAUUUACAUUGGGUUAACUUUAGUAAUUAAAAUUAAUUAGUAUGCUAACUUCAUGAAGUUAAACUCAAUAAAGUUAAACUUGCUAGGAAAACAAAAAAGUGGCUCAUCCUAAAAAAUGGUGGGAAUCACUUUAGUCUUUGCCAUUCCUGUGACAAAUAUGACCUCAUAAGUGAUCAUUGUCUCUCUGAAAAAAAAAAAAAUUCCAUAAGGAAAGAAAAAUCUAACAAGCCUAUUGCUAAUUACUUCACUUCAGAUGUAACCAGACAUAAAGGAAAUUCAAAUGAAUUCGAGGUUGAAAUUGGUCUAAGGAACAAUAUUUAGCUUUGAAGGUGAAUUUCAGCAUUGCCUUCCCUUUUGCUGAAUUUGCAGUUUCCCAUAUGGCAUCCAGGUAUACACACAGCUGCAUCGUGUCACUGCAAGCGGCUCCCAGAGUUGUUCCUGUUCAUCCAGGAAGAAAGAAAAUCCCGCCAAAGAUUGAGAGAGAUCAAUAAAUGUAUUUCCAAAGAACCUGAAAGAAGAUGUUUCCAUUUGGCUGUCUUACCCUCUAUCCAAGCUCAGAGGGAAAUGCAUUCAAGAACGUUAACGGCCAGCACAAAUUCCAUUCCAAGCCAUGGAGCGGGAAGGGCACAUGAUACCAAGUGUCCCACCAGACGGCCAUCUUGCUAACUAAUACACCUCGGGAUUACAUUUGCAUUUACACAAAAUGUGAGCUUUGGGAGCCAGACGUAUUAUUUUGGUUAAUAGUUUGGCACGUUCUCAGCUUGGAAGCCUGAGCAUAUGUGAUGGGUCAGUAACACAAUAAAAGUAACGGGGAAGCAUUUCUUUCCCCAGUGGUGAAUUUCUACCCUAUUCAGGAAACAGACUUCCCAACUCAGCCAUUACAGCUGUCUGGAUCGUUCAUACCAUUUGCUGUUAAAUAUACCCAAGUAGGAAAAACAGUGUCUUUGUAUUUGCUGUUAAAUGUAAUCAGAGACAAUCUUUACGGUCAUUCGGGAUCAUUACUAUCAGCAUAAUUACUGCUUUAGAGAACAAUAAUCAUACAUAUGUGUGGUAUAGAUAUGCGGGGAGUCCAAUGCAGAAAUGCAGAAGAGACAAAAGUGCCUGUUAAUAUUUUACGAAAGCUGUAAUUUUAUUGAAAAUUAACUAAUUUACCUAAAGGAACAACUUCGUAUAGGAUUUUUUAGCUCAAUGUGUUCAACAAAGUAGAAAAAAUUACAGGGGGGAAAAGAAACCCUUACCCAGUACAUUGAUGCCUGACAUGACGUGAUUAGAAGUAAUCUAUAUUUUGCAAGUUUAAGAACUAUCUCUAGUUAAGAUGUAAUACCUUUAUAUGAGAAUGUGCAGCGACUCCUCGAGUCAAUAACUGUGUAAGUGUCUGUGUGUGUCCAUUUAUUUUGUAAAAGAGAGAUGAUAUGUUAAAACAUGUCCUCUUUCUUUUUUCUUCCUCACUUGCUUGCAUAUGACAUUCCAGAGGAUUCCACCUGCCUCCGGGAGAAUUAGAAUUACUGCAGAAAUGCAAAGAGAAAGAAAGUUUUUGACUGCCAGCAUAGGAUUUUGAAACCCAUAGAAACAACAGUCUUGAAAGCCUAUAAAUUUGAGAGAGAAAAGGGAUUUCUAAAGCCUCAAAAAUUUCCUUUACAUCUAACAAGCAAAACUAGCAGGACUGAUCAUAAAUUCACACUAAGCCAUUGCCAGGAAGAAUUUAGAAUGUGCCAUAAAGUUUCAACCACAGAAAUAAAACUGAAAAAGGCAACAAAAAAGCCAAUAUAAAUAAAAAAUAAACAGACCAAAACAAACAAACAAAAAAACCAAAACUACAAAACAAUAAGUUCCAACCAGAAAGAAAAGGUUGCACUCAAAGGGUUUUUUUGCAAUCAUAAGUUUGUGACUGUCACGCACGUCUGUGUGAAGAGACCACCAAACAGGCUUUGUGUGAGCAACAAGGCUGUUUAUUUCACCUAGGUGCAGGCAGGCUGAGUCCGAAAAGAGAGUCAGCAAAGGGAGAUAGGGGUGGGGCACUUUUAUAGGAUUUGGGUGAGUAGUGGAAAAUUACAGUCAAAGGGGGUUGUUCUCUUGCGGGCAGGGGCGGGGGUCACAAGGUGCUCAGUGGGGGAGGUUCUGAGUCAGGAAAAGGAAUUUCACAAGGUUAAUCGCUCAGUUAAGGUGGGGCAGGAACAAAUCACAAUGGUGAAAUGUCAUCAGUUAAUGCAAGAACUGGCCAUUUUCACUUCUUUUGUGAUUCUUCACUUGCUUCAGGCCAUCUGGAUGCAUACAUGCAGGUCACAGGGGAUAUGAUGGCUUAGGUUGGGCUCAACGGCCCGACAGUGACAAGGGAGUUGUGAGAAUGAAUGGGAUAAUAUGCCUGAAGCACUUAGCACAAUUAUUGUCGCUGAAAAGAGUCAAGCUGUAAAAUAUUUGAAAAGAUUUAUUCUGAGCCAAAUAUGAGUGACCAUGGCCUCUGGCACAUCCAUCAGGAGAUCCUGAGAACAUGUACCCAAGGUGGUCAGGAAGUCAUGAGACAUCAAUCAGAUACAUUAAGAAAUAUAUUGGCUUGGUCCAGAACAGCGGGACAACUCGUGGGGUGGGGCAGGCUUCCAGGCUAUAGGUCAAUUUCAUGUUCAGGUUAAGAUUCUGGAGACCAAGGUUCUUUUGAAGUCUCAUAGUGGCUGCCCUUAGAGACAACAGAAGACAAACGUUUCCUAUUCAGACCUUUAAAAGGUGCUAGACUCUCCGUUAACCUCUUCAGGACUGGGAGGGCCUGGAAGAAAAAGAUCUAGCUAUGUUAAUAGAGUUUCUUUACAGAUGCAAAUUUUCUGCCACAAAGGACAGCUUUGCACGGCCAUUUCAAAAUACAGCAAAGAAACAUGUUUUGGGAUAAAAUAUUUUUAUUUUCUUGUUUGUCACAUAAUGUUAUGCAAGAGUCAGAUUGGAAAGUAAAUCACGAUAUAUAGGCUUAAAUAAAACCCAUCUGAUGAGAAUUUAUGGUUUGUAGGGCAUGACUCUCCAGACCCCUUUAGAUAGGAAUUUGGCUAAGAUAAGAAAAAAAUCAGAGCUUAGUCCUCAAUUCCCAGCAUUUGAUAAAUACUCUCAUGUUUAUAAAAAACGUUACUACAGUUAACACAUUACCUGGUAAAUAUUACCUCUCUACUUGUCUGCUCCCAUCCCACUAGACUCAAAUGGAUUGAGGGCAGGGAUUCCACUUUAUUCAUUCCUUCAUCCUUAGCUCCUAUCACAGAGCUUGGUACUUGAUAAAUUUUUGUGGAGCAAAUGAACCUCACUGGUUCUCUGAGACAAAGAAGGCAUGCAGUAAGAAGGUCGAGUGGUCCCUGCUCUUUGUUGUUCAUUUACAAGACACCAUCAUCAUAAGCACCAGUUUGUGGCUGGUUGUGUAAAAGAAAAUAAAAACCUAACCAAUCUGAGUUUUAGAUUGGGUAAGGAUGAGAUUUUUUUAACCUUCUGAUGAUAAAAUAAUCAGAUGGGCUACCCCAAAAUGUGGAGGACUCUUUAUGCUUAAUGAGCUUUUUGAGAUGUCAACAAUAUCUGUCCUGGAUGAUUUAGACAUUCCCUUGCCUGCAGAGAGAGAGCUGGGCCGGAUCAUCUCUGAAAGUGCCUUCAGCUCUCUAUUAUCACUACAUGAUUCUAUUAACCAGUUAAUAUUUUUCCUGUAAUUUGCCCUUAGCAACUGCCUAACAACAUUACAGGUCCUUCCAUAGGAUGCAAUGAUGUGACAUUAAUCUAAUAUCACGUCCCCUCUCUGCCUGUUUCACCAACACCUCUCAUUCCUUGACCCUGAAUAAUGAUUCAAGGACAUCUUCUUUCCUUUUCUUCAACUAAACUAAGACCACCCUUAGGGCUUUAAACCAGUACCCAUCAUAGGCUCCGUGCUUACUAAAAAUCUACCUGGAGGUUCAGAUACUUCAUUCACCAGGCCUUAAGUUCUUCUGUUGGUUACAGUGAGUUCUAGAUUUCUCUUCAAAGAAUCAAUAUGUCAGUAUGUUCAGUUUUUUGUCCCCCAUUUUAAAGUUAGGCUGGGCGCGGUGGCUCACGCCUGUAAUCCCAGCACUUUGGGAGGCCGAGGCAGGUGGAUCACCUGAGGUCAAGAGAUCGAGAGCAUCCUGGCUAACACGGUGAAACCCUGUCUCUACUAAAAAUACAAAAAAUUAGCCGGGCACGGCAGUGGGCACCUGUAGUCCCAGCUACUCGGGAGGCUGAGGCAGGAGAAUGGGGUGAGCCCAGGGGGCGGAGCUUGCAGUGAGCCGAGAUAGUGCCACUGCAGUCAGGCCUGGGCGAAAGAGCAAGACUCCGUCUCAAAUAAAUAAAUAAAUAAAUAAAUAAAUAAAUAAAUAAAUAAUAAAAUUUAACUUCCUCGUGGUUUCAGUAAACAACCUUUUUCACCAGUUUUAAUCAGUAGUUCACAUCUGUUCCCCUGGUCCCCUGCUCCGUCCUGACUCAUCCCGGUCACCUGCUUUGACCUGCCUGCGUCACCCCGGUCACCUGCUCUGACCUAAGUCACCUUUAAUUACCUGGACCUAACCAUCCUUCCUACCAAACUACUGACCCCGCCACUCUGGCUUAUACCCCUGCUCUCUUUAAAAUAGCCAGUUGGAAUUAGCUUAUACUGUGCGGUCCAACCCUAGCCAAUAGGGGAACGACACAGCAGUAGGGGCCACCUGUGUCAGGAAUAAGAACCCCUUCCCCUCCCUUGUUCAGGUGCGCUCUCGCCAUUACUCCAUUUGUGAGUCGUACCCUUCUAUAGAAGUAAAAAUUGCCUUGCUGAGAAAAUUAAAUUUAUGUUCAUGUGCUAUUUCUUUGCAGCACCAAGGAACAAGCAUUUUGUUUCUAACACUUCUGUUUCCUUCUUUCAUCCCAUCCAAACUAUAUUCUUUUUUUGCUGUUAUAAACUAAAACCAAUUGCUAACCAUAAAAAUUGGAUUCAGAAUCUGGAUGCCCUUACAUUUAAAAACAUCUGAAAAUGCCCAAACUCACCAUAAGCUUGUGUCUAUCUUUGCUGGGUAGUACCAGCUGACAUCUGUCCACUCACAAAGACAGACUGGAGAAGAGAAUCCAAGGGUCAGAGGAUCAGGAUAACAUGGUAGCUCAUUUCCUUCUCACCUUCCAACCUUUCUACCAUAGGACAGAGAUUAGAACUGUUUAUUUAAAAGGAUUUACUGACACAAUAGCUGUUAUAGCUUCACAAAAUAGCUGACUUGUCCCUAAGGAGAAUUUGAAUCUGUGUAGCUUCACGAGGCCUUGAGCCAAAGGUAGCUCUUUCCCCGCCAACAACUUACACACAGUUCAACCUUGCCUCUGCUGGGCAUGUCUUCUUUAUGCUUGGUUAAUCAAGUGAACGGGAUUCAGUGAUAGCAAUAACUGCCCUCUACUGAGUUCCUAAUAGGUACCAGGCCCCCUAGCCAGGCAGUGCCAUGCACACAGUGGUCUGCAUGGAUGGCAGCCCUGGAACCAUGAGAUGCUGCAGCCAGGCCCACCCUACAAUCAUAUAAUUCAAUUGUAACCACACAGGGUAGAAUUAUCAUUCCCAUUCCAAAUGAAGAAAAAGGCUUAUGAAGGUAACUAAACUGACCAGGGUCACAUGAAUAGUAAAGAAUAGAGCUGGAUUUGAAACUCAAGUCUGGUAACCCAAGACCCUGCUAUUGUCAGAAAUUCUGCUCCAUGCUGUGGAAUUCAAAAAUAAGCAAGUGGGGCUGGGUGCAGUGGAGGUGAGAGGAUCGCUUGAGGCCAGGAGUUCAAGACCAGCUUAGACAACAUAACAAGAUUCUGUCUCUGCAAAAAUUAUUUUCUUAUUUUUUUUAAAUUAAAAAUUAACAAGUGGACCGGACUUUAAAGACCCCGAAAUGCAGUUUGAGAAAACAAGACACAUUCAUGUAAAAUUAAAUAGCAAUGAGGCCAGGUGCGGUGGCUCAUGCCUGUAAUCCCAGCACUUUGGGAGGCCGAAGCAGGCAGAUCACAAGGUCAAGAGAUUGAGACCAUCCUAGUCAACAUGGUGAAAUUCCGUCUCUACUAAAAAUACAAAAAAUUAGCUUGGUGUGGUGGCUCAAACCUGUAGUCCCAGCUACUCGGGAGGCAGAGGCAAGAGAAUCGCUUGAACCUGGGAGGUGGAGGUUGCAGUGAGCCAAGAAGACACCACUACACUCCAGCCUGAGUGACAGAGCAAGACUCCAUCUCAAAAAAAAAAAAAAAAUUAAAUUAAAUAACAAUGAAAUGUUGAAAUAAUGGCUCAGGUCAAGAGAGAAAAUGUGUCACGGGGCAGACCAUGAUUCAUUGCUAAAUGGACCAUGUAGCAAUAAUCGUUACAACCGUUUAGAGAACACAGGUUUACAAAUAUUUACAAGUUUUGGUGAACAUAGUCCAUGUACUGGGAAUUUCUAAGUAAGGUCCUAAAACUGGCGGCAACACAAAGGCAAAUAAUAAAAGAAAGACAUGACCUUGUUUCUACUGCAAAAAGUCCUCGUAGAAGGGAAGCCACCAGGCACUUGUAGGGAAGGAAAAAGAUAAAGGGUCUAUGGCAAAACUUUCAGAACUCUGUGAGAAUGAUUAACGUGACUUUUUUUUUUUUUUGAAAGUUUUGACUUCAGAUUUAGCUUAUGGUCUCGGGAGCUCAGGUUUCAAAUGUGUAAAUUAUAUUAUUUGAAGUGAAAAUGUGAUACAUGCUUUGGGUUUUAUUUUAUAAUUUAAUAUAAAAUAAGCUUUAAAAGCUAUGGUUUUUACAAAGAAAACUUGAAGGAUUUUGUUUUUUAAGACUGAUAAGUAGGAGUUGCGCUGGCAAAAUCUAAAUAGUAACUUCCAAUUUAAUUCUAAUGUUGAUGGAUAUGACAACUAAAGUAUUGUGUUCUUCAUGUUCCGAUCCUGUGAGUAAAGGAGAUGCUGAUAAAUGCUACUGUUCUCUCUUUCAAAUCUGCAUCGCAGAUAGUAGUCAUGUGCACUUUUGACUAAGACCAAGUAGACGAGAGUUUAUAAGAAGCCUAGGAACUGAAUGCCAAAUUUAGACUUGGGUUUUGAAUCCUUCCUAUGCCAGAAUGAUGAUGCUUUCCUUAAAUAGUUAACCAACUGGUUUGUUAAGCAAAGCAUGUUACAGUAAUAAAACUAAGGGGGCAGAGAUAAGUAUGCCUCUACAUAGUUAUAUAUGACUAGAGAAGAAAGACUAGUAUUUUAUACACCAGGGGUGUUUCUUCCCAAACACUAGUCCCAUAAGGCAGGGGUCUCCACCCCCGCUGCCACAGACCGGCCCUGUUAGGAACUGGGCCACACAGCAGGAGGUGACUGGCAAGUGAGUGUUACCGCCCAAGCUCUGCCCCCUGCCAGGUCAGCAGCAGCAUUAGAUUCUCAUAGGAUCGUGAACCCUAUUGUGAACUGUACAUGUGAGGAAUCUAGGUUGUGUGCUCCUUAUAAGAAUCUAAUGCCUGAUGAUCUGAGGUGAAACAGUUUCAUCCUGAAACCAUCCCCUUUCCCCUCCUACCCAUCCUUCCAUUCCCCUCCCAUCUCCCAUCACCCCACCAUCCAUGGAAAAAUUGUCUUCCAUGAAACCAGUUCCUGGUGCCCAAAAAGGUUGGGACCGCUGUUAUCAACCUUAAUAUGCAAAUCACUUUCACAUGUGCGUAACCUUGGAAACCACCUCUGGGAUAAACAUUAUUAUUGGCUCCAUUUUAUAGAUGAGAAGUUGACCUUAAUGGAGUUAAAUGAUUUGCAGAACCAUACUUAAACACAGAUUUCUGGCCAGGCGCGGUGGCUCACGCCUGUAAUCCCAGCACUUUGGGAGGCUGAGGCGGGUGGAUCACGAGGUCAGGAGAUCAAGACCAUCCUGGCUAACACGGUGCAACCCGUCUCUACUAAAAAAAAAUACAGAAAAUUAGCCAGGCGUGGUGGCAGGCGCCUGUAGUCCCAGCUACUCGGGAGGCUGAGGCAGGAGAAUGGCAUGAACCCGGGAGGCGGAGCUUGCAGUGAGUGGAGAUCACGCCACUGCACUCCAGCCUGGGCCACAGAGCGAGACUCCAUCUCAGAAAGAAAAACAAAAAACAAAAAAAAACCCCACAGAUUUCUUAAUUCUGACUCCAAGAAUUCAAAAAAAAAAAAAAACCGUUGAAAGUGACUUAUUCUAUUAGAAAUAUGGGAUAAGUGCCCUUCUUUAUUUUCAUUUACUGCUAUGGGAAACUUGAUUACCCCUUCUAAGCCAAUAUGUCUUCAACAUCAAGACACACAAGGUUUCAAAAUGUAAUUGCAUUCUGAUACACAUAAAGAGUAAAAAAAAAGAAUGAAAUUAGAGACAGGUCAUUCAUGGUUAAAAACACUGGCUUUGGAGUCAGACUGGCAUCAGACUCAGCUUCCAGUUUUUACUAGUAAUGUGAGAGCUUCAGGAAGUUGUUUGACUUCUCUGGGCCUCAGUUUCCUCGUUUGUAAAAUAAAAGUAACAAGAUCUAACUCAUAGGGUGGCUCUAAUCAUUAAAGAAGAUAUUACAUUCCGAGAGCUUAGUUAAUAUGUGCUCAAUAAAUGUUUAAGUCUACUGCUAUCAUUUAUUCAAAAAGCAUUACAUUGAGUGUGUAUUAGAUGGUGGGAAUAUGGAAGGAGAGAAUAUGGCGCUUGCCCUCAUAAAUUUUGUAUUUUAACCCCAGUUGCCUCCAAAAUUUUUAUCAUAAAGUGCAUUAUUAAAAAAUUUCUGAGCAUUAUUCCCAAAACAUGUAUGUAUAUGUUAAUUUAUAAAUUAUAUGUAUCUAUUACUAUACUAAAAAUUAUGUGCAUUAUAAAACAUAAGCAAUAAAUGAAUGCAAAAGAAUAAAUAAUUAAGAACCUACUGAAUUAUCUUGCACAAUCUUUGGAAUGUACAUACCACACUUUGGAGACCAUUGUUUUAGCCCAGGGAUUAGCACAUUUUUCUGUAAAGGACUGGAUAGUAAAUAGUUUUGCAGACCACACGAAGUCUCUGCUGCCCAAUCUUCUUAGCUUUUUUUUAAAAAAAAUUUUUAAGCAACCCUUUUAAAAUGUAAAGCAAUACUUACCUCCAGAGCUUUGCAAAAACAAAGCUUGCGCUGUAGUUUGACCAUCCUGGCUUUACAUCGUAGACUGCUCUAGGGUAAACGAUUCCAGACAGUGAACUAGUAAACACAUAAUUACUAUAGUAAGUUCUAGAUGAAAGAAACUGUUUAGCUCAAUGGAGAUUAAGGGAGAGGAGGCCAACUUCAGCUAAGAUGGUCAGAGAAGAUCACAUCUCAAGUGAGGCCGGAAGGUGGGGAAGGAGCCAGGCACAGAAGACAGAAGAAAGCCUUCCAGGCAGACGGAAGAACAGGCAAGGACAAGGUCCUCAGGUGGACGAGAACUUGCUUGACCAAGAACUGACAGGAAGUCUGUGUGCCUGGAACUGGUGAAAGAGGGGAAAAGAGCAACAUGUGAGAUGAGGUUUGUGAGUUGGGCAGAAGCCAGCUUUGGGGAGUCUGGAAGAUGAUUCCCACCAAGUAAAGCCUCUGAAGCAGAAAUGUAGUUAGAGAAGAUAAAAUCAGCCGAUUGUAUGUCCCCG
rnacentral:lncRNA from 10 species